rnacentral:piRNA from 1 species
UUUCUGAAAGUUUAGACUCUA